AGAAUCAACGCUGGCGGCGUGCCUAACACAUGCAAGUCGAACGAGGCCGCAAGGCCGAGUGGCGGACGGGUGAGUAACACGUGACCAACCAACCUCGAAGUUGGGAAUAGCUCUGCGAAAGUAGGGGUAAUACCGAAUGUGGCCCAGGGCGGGCAUCCGCCUUGGUCUAAAGAUUCAUCGCUUCGAGACGGGGUCGCGGCCUAUUAGCUUGUUGGUGAGGUAACGGCUCACCAAGGCGAUGAUGGGUAGCUGGUCUGAGAGGACGACCAGCCACACUGGGACUGAGACACGGCCCAGACUCCUACGGGAGGCAGCAGUGAGGAAUCUUCCGCAAUGGGCGAAAGCCUGACGGAGCAACGCCGCGUGUGGGAUGAAGACUCUAGGGUUGUAAACCACUGUCGGAGGGGACGAUCGUGACGGUACCCUCCAAGAAAGCCCCGGCUAACUACGUGCCAGCAGCCGC
rnacentral:rRNA from 1 species